GGCUCGGUAGCUUAGUUGGUAAAGCGCUCGUCUAGCAUACAAGAGUCCUGGGUUCAAUUCCCAGCCGAGCAC
rfam:Aedes aegypti strain Liverpool supercont1.23 genomic scaffold, whole genome shotgun sequence.